CCUACGGGUGGCAGCAGUGGGGAAUAUUGCGCAAUGGGCGAAAGCCUGACGCAGCGACGCCGCGUGAGGGAUGAAGGUCUUCGGAUCGUAAACCUCUGUCAGCAGGGAAGAACGGUCACUGUGCUAAUCAGCAGUGAAUUGACGGUACCUGCAAAGGAAGCACCGGCUAACUCCGUGACAGCAGCCGCGGUAAUACGGAGGGUGCGCGAGUUAAUCGGAAUGACUGGGCGUAACGCGCGCGUAUGCGGUAUGUCAAGUCAAGGGUGAAAUCCCCGCGCUCAACGGGGGAACUGCCUUUGAAACUGGCAAACUUGAGUGUGUGAGAGGAUAGUGGAAUUCCAGGUGUAGGAGUGAAAUCCGUAGAUAUCUGGAGGAACAUCAGUGGCGAAGGCGACUAUCUGGCACAUAACUGACGCUGAGGAGCGAAAGCGUGGGUAGCAAACAGGAUUAGAUACCCGUGUAGUC
rnacentral:rRNA from 1 species